rnacentral:rRNA from 1 species
AGGACGAACGCUGGCGGCGUGCUUAACACAUGCAAGUCGAACGGUGAAGCACCCUUCGGGGUGUGGAUCAGUGGCGAACGGGUGAGUAACACGUGGGCAACCUGCCCCUGACUCCGGAAUAACCUCGGGAAACCGAAGCUAAUACCGGAUACGACUUCGAGCGGCAUCGCUCGACGUGGAAAGUUUUUCGGUCAGGGAUGGGCCCGCGGCCUAUCAGCUUGUUGGUGGGGUAACGGCCUACCAAGGCGACUACGGGUA